rnacentral:rRNA from 1 species
ACGUAGGUGGCAAGCGUUGUCCGGAUUUACUGGGCGUAAAGAGCGCGCAGGCGGUUGUUUAAGUCGAAUGUGAAAGCCCCCGGCUCAACUGGGGAGGGUCAUUCGAUACUGAUCGACUUGAAGGCAGGAGAGGGUAGUGGAAUUCCCGGUGUAGCAGUGAAAUGCGUAGAGAUCGGGAGGAACACCAGUGGCGAAGGCGGCUACCUGGACCAGCACUGACACUGAGGCACGAAAGCGUGGGGAGCAAACAGGA